UUGCACAUGCAGUCAGUCGUACAUGACUGAUACAGAAGUUAGAUCAAAUAUGUUGAAGCCGGCGGCAUCAUCUUCCUCGUGUGCCCGAUGUUGGGCGAUCAUCGCAGCAGUGCUGAUCCUGUGCGCCCCACACGCUGAGCUUGUCCAAGGAGGUACUUAAGCAUGCAUGCGUAAACACAUGGCAUGCAAAAUCUCCAUGUCUUUCACUAAACUCUGCUGUGAUGUGAUAGACCGAUGUAUUUCGUUCGUGUUUGCAGGUGGAAGGCCGGUGCCGGCCCCUCCUGCUCCUGUAGCGCAGGAGAUGCCCUAGUUUCCCUGUCUGCAACAACAAUCCAUCGCCUUCGCCGCCGCUUGCUCCUACUCCUCCCGCAGUGCCAGCGGCCAGACGUAAUUAAUUUAGCUUUGUUAUUAGUUGCAGCUUCGGCCUUGGGCGGCAGGCCGAUUGCAGAAAUUUCACCAUUUAAUUACAAGUCAAGUCAGGUUGCAAUACGACUUCAGAUUAUGGUACAGUACUUGUUUGUAAGGCAGAUUAAUUUGCCGACAUAUAUACUUUCAUCAAUAUUAUACGAUCCUACACAAGGUUUAGAAUUCUAUUCAUACUAAGAAACGAAAUGUUAUGCUCUUCAACGUGGACUUUGGGAAGGCAUAUGAUAAAAAUUAAGUGGCCUUUCAUGCACAGAGUGUUAACUCUGAAGGGAAUCCCAUGUCAAUCAAAUGAUUGGAUAAUCAAAACUAUGAGAGAAGGGCAUGUUUGUAUAGAAGUAAAUGAUGGUGUAGGACCAUACUUCCUUACUCUGAAUGGUUUAAGACGAGGUAUUCUCUCCCAUUUGCUUUUUAAUCUUGCUGUCCAUGCUUUGGUUAUUAUUUUAAAUAAUGCCAAAAAGCACGGGUAAGUCAAAUGAAUGAUGAUUGAAUACAGUGAGGGAGGUGUAAACAUGUUGUAAUAUGCAGAUGAUAUGAUAUCCCUCCUUCCAAAUGAUAUAUAGGAAAAUAAAGAUUGGGGUCUAGUGGGCGCGUCACCAGAUUCUCGCCACGAGGCUCAGGUGUCUACUGUUGAUUGGUCUCCAAAAGGUUCGAGUGGGGUUGACUCAGCUUCGCCUUAGUCCCAACCUAGAGAGCAUAUCCUGUGCACCCAGAGUUUUUGUGCUGCCAGUGCAUCAAACAUCAAAGGCUUGUACUAUGAGUUCUCAAAAAUUCUGAAAAUAAUUAAGUUAAAGAAAUAGCAUACAUCUUUCCCGCAAAAAAAUAGAGAAGUAACAUACAUCUAAAAUGUUACAAAAUUUCAGUCAUAAAUUCAACUCACAUAAAGAGAAACAAAAAUAACAAAUCAUGCUCUAGUAGUGCAAGCGGAACAAAUUCCCGGCCCUGUAUAAAUUAACAAAAUUCAGUUUAAAUUCAACCCACAUGUUAAUGAAUGUUGUUAAUUUAACCUCGGCCAUUUCAUCGACAUAUUCCCUGCACCUUCGGGUGCAGCUUCGUGUAUUUCCGCCGGUUUGCAAUGUAGACUCACCACCUGGUUAAUUUCCUCUAAUAGUCAUACAUGGCUGGGUGCGUCAUUUGAUAUUAUGGUACAAUACUUGUUUAUGUGGAGUAUUUGCCGACAUAUAUACUUUCAACAACAUAAUGAUCCUACACGAGGUUUUGAAUGUUGUUCAUGCUAAGAAACAAAAUGCUAUGUUUUUCAAAGUGGACAUUGGGAAGGCAUAUGAUAAAAUUAAGUGGACUUUUAUGCACAUAGUGUUACUCUCAAGGGAUUCCCAUGUAAAUCAAAUGAUUGUAUAAUCAAAACUAUGAAAGGGGGUCAUGUUGGUAUAAAAGUAAGUGAUGUUGUACGACUGUACUUUCUUACUCUUAAUGGUGUAAGACAAGGUAUUCUCUCCCCCCUUUGCUUUUCAAUCUUGCUGCUCAUGCUUUGGUUAUUAUUUUAAAUAAUGCCAAAAAGCAUUGGUAUGCCAAAUGAAUGAUGAGUGAAUAUAGUGAGGGAGGUGUAAACAUGUUGUAAUAUGCAGAUGAU
rnacentral:lncRNA from 1 species